rnacentral:rRNA from 2 species
UGCAAGUCGAGCGGCAGCGGGUCCUUCGGGAUGCCGGCGAGCGGCGGACGGGUGAGUAAUGCCUAGGAAUCUGCCUGGUAGUGGGGGAUAACUCGGGGAAACUCGAGCUAAUACCGCAUACGUCCUACGGGAGAAAGCGGGGGAUCUUCGGACCUCGCGCUACCAGAUGAGCCUAGGUCGGAUUAGCUAGUUGGUGAGGUAAAGGCUCACCAAGGCUACGAUCCGUAGCUGGUCUGAGAGGAUGAUCAGCCACACUGGAACUGAGACACGGUCCAGACUCCUACGGGAGGCAGCAGUGGGGAAUAUUGGACAAUGGGCGAAAGCCUGAUCCAGCCAUGCCGCGUGUGUGAAGAAGGUCUUCGGAUUGUAAAGCACUUUAAGUUGGGAGGAAGGGCAGUAAGCUAAUACCUUGCUGUUUUGACGUUACCGACAGAAUAAGCACCGGCUAACUUCGUGCCAGCAGCCGCGGUAAUACAAAGGGUGCAAGCGUUAAUCGGAAUUACUGGGCGUAAGCGCGCGUAUGUGGUUUGAUAAGUUGGGAUGUGAAAGCCCCGGGCUCACCUGGGAAUUGCAUCCAAAACUGUCUGACUAGAGUAUGG